rnacentral:rRNA from 1 species
CCUACGGGAGGCAGCAGUGGGGAAUAUUGCACAAUGGGGGAAACCCUGAUGCAGCGACGCCGCGUGAGUGAAGAAGUAUUUCGGUACGUAAAGCUCUAUCAGCAGGGAAGAAAAUGACGGUACCUGACUAAGAAGCCCCGGCUAACUACGUGCCAGCAGCCGCGGUAAUACGUAGGGGGCAAGCGUUAUCCGGAUUUACUGGGUGUAAAGGGAGCGUAGACGGCAGCGCAAGUCUGGAGUGAAAUCCCAUGGCUUAACCAUGGAACUGCUUUGGAAACUGUGCAGCUAGAGUGCAGGAGAGGUAGGCGGAAGUCCUAGUGUAGCGGUGAAAUGCGUAGAUAUUAGGAGGAACACCAGUGGCGAAGGCGGCUUACUGGACUGUAACUGACGUUGAGGCUCGAAAGCGUGGGGAGCAAACAGGAUUAGAUACCCCAGUAGUC